CAGUCGCCGCGGGAAUACGUAGGGUGCAAGCGUUAAUCGGAAUUACUGGGCGUAAAGCGUGCGCAGGCGGUUCGCUAAGACAGAUGUGAAGUCCCCGGGCUUAACCUGGGAACUGCAUUUGUGACUGGCGGGCUAGAGUAUGGCAGAGGGGGGUAGAAUUCCACGUGUAGCAGUGAAAUGCGUAGAGAUGUGGAGGAACACCGAUGGCGAAGGCAGCCCCCUGGGCCAAUACUGAUGCUCAUGCACGAAAGCGUGGGGAGCAAACAGGAUUAGAUACCCCCGUAGUCCCUGUCUCUUAUAC
rnacentral:rRNA from 1 species